UUGGAUUCUGACAAACCUGUAUUUGAGGGAAUAAAUAUCUUCAAACUCAAAUGACAAGGUCUGACCAGAUUUCCCCUUUAAUGUGGGAAGAGGCAGGCACCAAUCGCAGAGCUGGCAUCUUUGCAAAGGAAGGUAGGUGUCUUCCUGCUGCAGCUUGUCUGUAGAAUAUAUUCAAUUUUACAAGUGGUUUCUGUUUCACCUCCUUUUUUGUUGCUGAUAUGCAUGGUUUGGUCAGAUCACUACAGCAGGCAUAAGAUUUCAGACUGAAAGAGUGGACCUUGGACAAAUAGGGAUGAC
rnacentral:lncRNA from 1 species